rnacentral:rRNA from 1 species
UAGGGAAUCUUCCACAAUGGGCGAAAGCCUGAUGGAGCAACGCCGCGUGUGUGAUGAAGGCUUUCGGGUCGUAAAGCACUGUUGUAUGGGAAGAACAGCUAGAAUAGGAAAUGAUUUUAGUUUGACGGUACCAUACCAGAAAGGGCGGCUAAAUACGUGCCAG